GGAGAGGUGGCAGAGUGGUCUAUUGCGGCGGUCUUGAAAACCGCUUCGGCUUGACGGCCGACGGGGGUUCGAAUCCCUCCCUCUCCGCCA
rnacentral:tRNA from 1 species